rnacentral:rRNA from 1 species
GACGAACGCUGGCGGCGUGCUUAACACAUGCAAGUCACGGGGGUCCCGCAAGGGAUAACCGGCGAACGGGUGCGUAACACGUGAACAACCUGCCCCCGUGUGGGGGAUAGCCAUGCUAACGCGUGGGUAAUACCGCAUACGUUCUCUGAAGGGAGUCCUUUGGAGAGGAAAGCUCCGGCGCACGGGGAGGGUUCGCGGCCUAUCAGCUAGUUGGCGGGGUAAUGGCCCACCAAGGCGACGACGGGUAGCNGGUCUGAGAGGAUGGCCAGCCACAUUGGGACUGAGAGACGGCCCAGACUCCUACGGGAGGCAGCAGUGGGGAAUCUUGCGCAAUGGCCGAAAGGCUGACGCAGCGACGCCGCGUGGGGGA